rnacentral:rRNA from 1 species
AAUAGAUACCCUGGUAGUCCAUGCCGUAAACGUUGGGCGCUAGAUGUGGGGACCAUUCCACGGUUUCCGUGUCGCAGCUAACGCAUUAAGCGCCCCGCCUGGGGAGUACGGCCGCAAGGCUAAAACUCAAAGGAAUUGACGGGGGCCCGCACAAGCGGCGGAGCAUGCGGAUUAAUUCGAUGCAACGCGAAGAACCUUACCAAGGCUUGACAUAUACGAGAACGCUCUAGAAAUAGAGAACUCUUUGGACACUCGUAUACAGGUGGUGCAUGGUUGUCGUCAGCUCGUGUCGUGAGAUGUUGGGUUAAGUCCCGCAACGAGCGCAACCCUCGUUCUAUGUUGCCAGCGGUUCGGCCGGGAACUCAUAGGAGACUGCCGGGGUCAACUCGGAGGAAGGUGGGGAUGACGUCAAAUCAUCAUGCCCCUUAUGUCUUGGGCUUCACGCAUGCUACAAUGGCCGGUACAAAGGGCUGCAAUACCGUAAGGUGGAGCGAAUCCCAAAAAGCCGGUCUCAGUUCGGAUUGAGGUCUGCAACUCCG